CAACAUGGUUUAAAGGCUACAUUUUAUGGGCAUGAGAAACCUAUAAAAUUGAUGUCGGUUGCAGAGCACAGAGCUUCACUUUUGGUAACCAUCUCAAAAGAUUCCAAGGUUAGGGUUUGGGAUACAACUACAUCUUCUGCUAUUCGUUCUUCAUGCUGUGUGGGAAUGACUACUCUGCCUGGCACACCUGUGGAUAUGAAAUGCCAUGAAUCUUUGCUUUAUUUUGCUGCUGGUUCCUCUGUUGGGGCUGUGGAUUUGAGAACAAUGCAGAAAGUCAUCACUGCAGCUAUUUAUCAACCUAAAUUAUAUUCAUUUGCAAUUGCCCC
rnacentral:misc_RNA from 1 species